GGCCCAUGCGCCUGCUGCCCGGACUCAAAUCGCCGCUCGCCGGACGCGGCCCUGCCGAUAUCGACAUGGUGUGCGUACGUGAGAACACCGAGGGCGAGUAUUGCGGGGUGGGCGGCUUCGUGCACCGGGGACGCGCGGGCGAAAUGGCCACCGAAGUGGCGACCUUCACGCGCGCCGGGAUCGAGCGCCUGGUCCGCUUCGGUUUCGAGCUCGCCCGCACCCGGCCGAGGAAGAUGGUCGCCUCCGCCACGAAGUCCAACGCUCUCAAGCAUUCGAUGGUGCUUUGGGACGAGGUGGUGGAGGACGUGGCCGCGCAAUUCCCCGACAUCACCCUGCGCAAGUACCACGUGGAUGCCCUCGCCGCGAGGAUGGUGACCCAGCCCGACACCGUCGACGUGAUCGUGGCGAGCAACCUCUUCGGCGACAUCCUCACCGAUCUAGGCGCCGCCAUCUCCGGCUCCCUCGGCACCGCGCCCUCCGGGAACCUCGACCCCACGCGGAAGAAUCCCUCUAUGUUCGAGCCCAUCCACGGCUCCGCGCCCGACAUCGCGGGAAAGGGCAUCGCGAAUCCCAUCGGGGCAGUGUGGGCGGGCGCCAUGAUGCUCGAGCAUCUCGGCGAGAAGCAGGCGGCGCAGCGAGUGGUCCGCGCCAUCGAGAAGGUGACCCUCGAGGGCAAGGUCCGGACCCCCGACCUGGGCGGAUCGGCGACCACCGCCGACAUGACCCGGGCUCUCGUGGAGGCACUCUGAUGGCGCGCCAGAACAUUUCGUCCGGGACCAAGUGGGAACCGGUGGUCGGCUAUUCGCGAGCCGUGCGCGUGGGCCCCUACGUCCACGUGUCGGGCACGACGGCGGUGGACGCUUCGGGCGCCGUGGUCGGAGAAGGUGACGCCUACGCCCAGACGGAGUUCAUCCUGCGCAAGAUCGACGACGCUCUCGGCCAGGCCGGGGCCUCGAUGUCCCAGGUGGUGAGGACGCGGCUGUUCGUCACGGACAUCUCCCGGUUCGAUGAGAUCGCCCGGGCUCACGGCAAGGUCUUCCGGGAGAUCCGGCCCGCCUCCACGAUGGUCGAGGUCAAGGCCCUGGUCGAUCCGGAGAUGCUGAUCGAGAUCGAAGCCGACGCGUACGUGGGCUCGGACUGAGUCCUCCCUCGAUGCGCUCGCGCCGGCUCCGAUUCGUCCUCGGUGCCCUCUUGCUCGGCUUCGUAGUCCUGAACGUGCUCAUCUACGAGCAGGCGCGGGCCAUGACUCGCUUCCUCCCCGGUGGAGCGCGAACCGGGAAGCCGGAGACCCUGAGCUACCUCCAGAAGCUGAGCGUCGUCACCAUGGGCGUGCGUAUCCCGAAGCCCUUGAACGAAGGGACGCCGCUUGAUCGGCACAUGCCCUUCGACACCUGGACCAUUCCCGUGGAGCCCGGGAUCACCCUCGAAGCGUGGGCGGUCCGGCAAGAGAAUCCGAGGGGCGUGGUCGUGCUCUUUCACGGUUACGCGGACCGCAAGUCGUCGGACCUCAGCGAGGCGCGGGCUUUCUUCGACCAGGGUUGGGCGCCCGUGCUCGUCGACCUGCGCGGUAGCGGAGGCUCAUCCGGCGGAACCACGAGCAUCGGUUUUUUCGAGGCGAGCGACGUUUCCGCAGCGGUGCGUUUCACGCGCG
rnacentral:misc_RNA from 1 species